rnacentral:lncRNA from 1 species
UCACCUAACUAACUCCUAAUUGCAACCAGCUUCCCAUAUCUGUUUAAAUUGAUAAUCCAUAGCUUUACUAGAUACGUUUACAGCAUUUGCUUGAAUCUAGAUUCUAACAGCUGUUGUGUCCUACAGAUGCCUAGAAGUAUAUUGAACUAAUAAAAAUCCUUUUCCAAGCAUCAAACUAGGGUUUUCUAGGCAACAUUAAACAAACACAACAUAUAUUUUCUUAUUCCCUAUGGUAACAGUCCAUCCCAAAAGGAGAAGCAAAUCUAAACCCUGGCUUA